rnacentral:rRNA from 1 species
AUGAACGCUGGCGGCGGGCCUAACACAUGCAAGUCGAACGGAAAGGCCCUGAGUUUUUGGGGUUCCCGGGUGGCGAACGGGGGAGGGACACGUAAGUAACCGGACCUUCUUUUUGGGGGGGGAUCAGGAAAGGGAGCCUAAUACCAUAUAGGAUCUCCUCCUGCGGGGAAAGGAUGGGAAAGUUUGGCCUUUUGGGGAUGGAUUCGCCGAUUUUGGGCUAGCUAGUUGGGGGGGUAAAGGCCAACCAAGGGGACGGUCCGUAGCCGGUCUGAGAGGAUGAUCAGCCACACUGGAACUGAGACACGGUCCAGACUCCUACGGGAGGCAGCAGUGGGGAAUAUUGGACAAUGGGCGCAAGCCUGAUCCAGCCAUACCGCGUGGGUGAAGAAGGCCUUCGGGUUGUAAAGCCCUUUUGUUGGGAAAGAAAAGCAGCAGGUUAAUACCCCGCUGUUCUGACGGUACCCAAAGAAUAAGCACCGGCUAACUUCGUG